CCUUUUUUGUUUGCUCUUUCCGGCAAUUCCCCAGUGAGGAGGAAGCCCCUGGAGUAAGGUCUUUCUUUACCGUCGGCACUGGAAGGGAAUGGUGCUGGGCACGAAUGCAAAGUGGCUUUUGAUGGCUCCUAAUGGGCAGUUUUGUGCCAAAAGGGUGAAAACGGCUGCCAAGGUCCUAAAGUUCAAGUUUCACAAGCUCCCCAUGGGCAAACAGGCACUAAACAGAGUUAGCUGGAAUUUGAAGAGGUGGACUUGAGUGUUUGAUACCUUUGGAGCGACAAUGUUUUUUGGUUACUGGCCACUAUCCCGGAUGGCUUGCUUGGGUGCUGAUUUUGAAGACCUUUUUAUAUAAAGGUAUGAAGAGUUGGUGAUUCACAAGGCCUGGAAUACGGAGUUUUAAGCCAAGGCAGACUCUCAACCUGAACAUUUAGAGGUCAUCUGUGAGAAUAGCAGUCCAGUUAAGAGAGCAUCUUGCCAGUUGAAAGCACUGAAAUGGAUGCUCAUGGAUGGGAUAGAAGAGCAAGGUUUCAGUAUCAAUAAAGUUUUAUAAACCAUUUGA